rnacentral:lncRNA from 10 species
GACGGGCCGCCAUCCCUACCGUUUACAGACAGCGUCCAUCUCACUGGUGGGUCCCUAUGCAGUCCAACUUGCUCCACGUCUGAAUGUCAGUCCUAGAUACAAAGCAGAGAAGUUUAAAGUAGGGAAUGGCUUCUUUUUUCCUUUUACAAAACAUAAUGAUGGUAAGACACAAUAUUGGAGCUGGGAUGAAGGAGAAGUAGAUAUAAAGAUAUGGAGGGGCAUCCCUUAAGGGAUAUAAAUAGUUUCACAGAUGAAAUGCCUAAAGGAGAGAGAGGAGAGACAGAUGAGGAGACAAUUAUCUCAAAGGAGGAAAAUGGUCAAAAGGCAAAGAAUAAUGUGUGUGAACUCUCCGGUGCAUGGAAGGUUGUCCCAACAAGUUGAGAAGACGCACAGUGGGCAGCUCCUUCCCGCAGCUGGUACUUCCGACUUCGCGUGACUCCGGCUGCGUCCGGGGAGCGGGGUUUUUAUGGGUUCAGAAGGGAGGAAGUGCAUGCUGAUUGGUCCAUGGGUGGCCAUGGGCGGGCCUGGAAAAAGAACCAUUAGUGCUCACUCCAGGCCACAGACUCCGACCGGAACUGACAGCGCGGCCUCCAGGAUUGAAGCCAUCCCUGGCUUGAAGGAGCCUAAGGAGAUUUGCUAGUUUGAGUCCUGGGAGAUGAGAUGGGGAAGAUGGGCCCAAGCUGCAACAUGAAGGUCCAUGAUGAACAGUUGGCAUCUCCUACAGUGCCUGCCACUUGGUAAUGUUCAAUGCAGCCAAGGGAGCUAAGGUAAUGAACAAAACAGAGAAGUUCCUACCCUCCCUGAUGUUCAUUCUAGCAAAUGGAGACAGAUGAUAGAAAGUGCACAUCAUUGAGCAAGAGGGACACCAUGGAUAAUGGAAAGAUCUACGGCAAGGCUGGCUGUCUGCCCUGUCUAAGGAGGACGUACUGGACCAUCCUGCUCUGCACAUCCAGAUGUGUCCAUGAAUACAUCCAUAAAACGAUGGCCUGUGGAAUCCUAUAGGAAAAUGAUCCAGAGCCUGGGCGGUCAGAAGGAACAAACACUUGAUUUACAAAAUAAAUCUUCUAUGUUUAUGUUUUAAAGACACACAGAGGAAAAACAUUUUUAAAUUCAUGA